rnacentral:rRNA from 1 species
AGUGAACGCUGGCGGCAGGCCUAAUACAUGCAAGUCGAACGGCAGCACAGUGGAUCUUGCUCCAUGGGUGGCGAGUGGCGGACGGGUUAGGAAUACAUUGGAAUCUGCCCAGUCGUGGGGGAUACGUAGGGAAACUUACGCUAAUACCGCAUGCGCCCUUCGGGGGAAAGCCGGGGACCUUCGGGCCUGGCGCGAUUGGAUGAGCCCAUGUUCGAUUAGCUAGUUGGCGGGGUAAAGGCCCACCAAGGCGACGAUCGAUAGCUGGUCUGAGAGGAUGAUCAGACACACUGGGACUGAGACACGGCAGAGACUCCUACGGGAGGAAGCAGUAGGGAAUAUUGGACGAGGGGCGAAAGCGUGAUCCAGCCAUGCCGCGUGAGUGAAGAAGGACCUAGGGUUGGAAAGCUCUUUUGUCCGGGAAGAAAAGCAUCGGGCUAAUACCUCGGUGUUCUGACGGUACCGGAAGAAUAAGCACCGGCUAACUUCGUG